UCAGAGGACAGGAUAAAAGUCAGAGAGGAGAAUAUUCAGAUAAUUCCUGUUACUGAUUUAACAGAAUAAGCAAUUGUGUAAACUAGAAAAAAGUUCUGCCAUAGAUAAACAACUGUCAGUGUGAGACCUCUAAAGGUCACCUGUCACACGAUCUCUUCACUCCAGCGGCCUUUCAUACUUCACAAUAACCACAUAUUGUUCUGGUUUGCAGUGGUGCCUCAGGGCUUUGUGCAAUCCCACUGCCUGAGUGUAUCACAACACACAGGCCUUUGUGCUAGAAAACCACAAGGCUGGUCACAGUUUACGUGAAUGGAGUCCAGCUUACCUUUCACCUGUGACAGCCGACAGAAUACUGGUGAUUUUCUCAAGGUGAGCACAGAAUCUAUGGGCACACCUGAUUCUCUCCACUUCUGAGCCAAGCUCCUGGGAGAUAAAGGAAAUUCUGGGGACCGAUGAACCAAUGACGUCCAAGAUUUUGCCCAUUUACAAACACAGCUCCUUUACCCCAACCCUGUGGAUGGAUGGACUGGAAGUCUGAUGAAGGUGUCUCUGGGAGGACCGUCCACAUACAGUCUGGCCUGGAAAAAUCCUGGAAUGGAGGGGGACUUGAAGUCAGACUUCCACUGACCUGAACUCAUUAAUCUGAAACAAGAUUCAUUUG